rnacentral:rRNA from 1 species
AUUGAACGCUGGCGGCAUGCCUUACACAUGCAAGUCGAACGGAAACAGGUCUUCGUAGGCUGACGAGUGUCGGACGGGUGCGUAAUACAACGGAACGUGCCCGAUCGUGGUGGAUAACGCAGCGAAAGCUGUGCUAAUACCGCAUACGAUCUAAGGAUGAAAACGGGGGAGCGCAAGACUGAGCGCGGACCGAGCGGUCGAUGGCAGAUUAGUUAGUUGGUAGGUUAAAAGCUUACAAAGCCGACGAUCUGUAGCUGGUCUGAGAGUACGACCAGCCACACUGGAACUGAGACACGGCCCAGACUCCUACGGGAGGCAGCAGUGGGGAAUUUUGGACAAUGGGCGAAAGCCUGAUCCAGCCAUGCCGCGUGAAGGAUGAAGGCCUUCGGGUUGUAAACUGCUUUUGUACGGAAAGAAAAAGCUCUCUCUAAUACAGGGGGUGCAUGACGGUACCGAAAGAAUAAGCACCGGCUAACUACGUG